ACUCAGCAGUAAAUACCUUCAGGUCAUUUGUCAUACGCACCUGCUAGCCAGCAUCGACAAUUACGGUGCAGUAAUAACGAGUUCUGGGUUUAAAUACUCUCGCGCACCAUUCUCCAGCAUUCGGCAGUAGGUGCGUGCUCUGAGACAGCUUUUUUAUCCUUUGUUUCAUUCUCCACAAUUAUUGUUACAGCCUUCAAAAAUAAUGCAAUACCAAGUGAGUGCAGUAAAAUUUCAUGUGUACUUCACUGCAAUACUCCUAAUUUUCAUUUGCAAGUCUGCAGGAAAGCUACAUGCUAAUGUUGAAGUUGCUGAAAGAACUGAGUCCAAGGAUGCUCAAGUAUCGUCAACAGGGGGGGGAACCAUGGACUGCAUUGGUAAAGAUGGCGAGCCAACUAAUGAAGGAAUGCUAUGUUCAUUAGUGGUCGUGCUAGAAGGAAGAAAAGCCGAUGUUGAAGCUACGUGUUUGACCGGCGCCUGCAAGAAUGGUACUUGCACAAAUAUUAAUAAAACAGACUGCACCAACGUCUCAUGAAGAAGAAAAGAGUAAACAAGAUGCAGUAUAAUGGAAAGCAUCGUUUACAAAUAGAGUGACAUCCGGAAUGUGGUUCGGUUUCGCUAAAAUGUUUGUUUAAUAACUUCUGAAAAAAAUUUUGUCUUUGCAGGCCACAUAUUAUUUCAACCACACCACCCCCCUUACUUGUAACAUUUCCUAUAAUAAAGAUACCGUUUCUGAUGGAUUCUGCAUGCGGCCAUUUUAAACAGGCAACACACGGAGAAGGUUAUCCUUGUGCAGAGUAUACC